CCCUUAACGUUCAUGCAUGGAAUCUUUCAUAUCCACAUGCACAAACAUCAUUAUUAACCAAAUACCACAAAUGCCCCUAUCAUUACCAUCUCUCUCUAUAAAUACAAACCCUCCAACAAAACCAAUUUACAAACUCACCCCCUCAAAAACCUAAACCAAACCAAACCAAAAGUUGCCAAAUUACAAAUCACUCCCUCAAAAACCAUGGCUACUCCAUCCAAGUCCUCCAUCUUCCUCCUCUUCGCCAUCUUCUUCGCCGUCUCGUUCUCCAACGUCCAAGUUGGAACCUCAGCUCGCCAGCUCCUCCAGCUCCCCAUCCCUGCCGUCGGAAGUGUCAUCCCGAACCUGCCGAUGCCCCAGCUGCCCCCACUUCCCGCCGGCCUUCCUGGAAUCCCGGCCAUUCCCGGGGUUCCCGGAAUUCCUUCUGUCCCGAAGGUCCCUGAGCUCCCUGCAGUCACCGCUCUCCCGGUUCCUAACAUCCCCAAGAUCCCAGGAGUGCCUGGAAACUAAUUACGAUGAUGCUGGCCGGAAUUUCGGGUUCCGGUGAUGGAGUUGUAUGCAGUAUAUAUGUAGACGUACAAGUUAAUGAAUGUAUCAUGUAUUGUAUCCUACAUAGUUUCCUACUGUUUGUGAUUUUCUACACCUUGAUGUAUGAAGUGACCGGUUUAUCGACUCUCUAUUUGUAUUUAAUUAUAUAAAAGAAGACUAUCUAUUUGUAUUUGUACUACAUAUUCAUGUUCUCUUCUUUUUUUAGGGUAUUUUCUAGUUUAAUUCCAUUUACUGAUAAGAAUGUUAUCCACAAUAAUUUCGGAUCUGGUUUGGAAAAUUCAACCCGGUUCGACCAAACUUAACUUGACCCGGAUCGCUUAAUCUAGCUUCAAGGUGUCAAAAAGCUCAAACUAGGAAGGACCGGGACAUGCAUCCCUUGGUUAAAUGUGGAAAUUUGGGAUUUUAGUCUUGAGCAUAAAAAAAUUGAAAUCGAGCUUGUAAUUUUUGAAUUCGGCUCGGUACAUUUUUUAGACCAAUACAACUAUAUAUGUGUCUGACCAUGUCGAACUAAGCUAAGGGGAGUUUCAAAUACCUCAACCUUUUGCGGCACUAUGUACUAAAUCAUGAGAAAAUUUAGUCUUAAAUCUCUGGCCUUCGUGCACCAAAUAUUAAAUUAUAGGGAAAGUUUGAUAUAUUCAUAAUUGAACUCAGAUGUUGAAUGGUAUUUAAAGUUAUGCUUUAUUAAUUGUUUCUUUGUUUAAACUAAGUAUGAUUCCGGUAUUUAAUCCAAUGAUCACUCAUAAUCGAUCUACUUACACCAUUUAAAUCAUGAUUGGAUUGAUCAAAUCAACCACAAGACAUUCACAAUCUACAAUUAACCGGGUUGGACAAAGCCCGGUUUGGGUUUCCAGGCUAUAUUCCUUAACCAGAGCAUGUGUACGUACAGGGAAGCCCGUAGCCAUGCAAGAUUUGCAGAUAACACGUACACGUACGUCCAAUCAACUUCUGGCUGGGCAGCCAAUAAUAACCCAACACGCAUGUGGAAAAGAUCAGACAGAAAAUCUUACCCUCGUGAAAAAAAGCAGAUUAUACUAUUGGGUAAACCGGCUCUAUUAUUGUGUGGUGAGGAAUUACACGACGUCGGUUAAAAGAAAACAAACUAACACAAGCUGGAGCAUACAUACAAUGCCAAAAGAUACCAUGUGGUCUGUGUGGUUCAAUCAACAUUCCAUCCUGUAGACAUCGACAAACGAAAUCAAUACGACCCAUGUGAAUCCUCAUCAUUCAAAAUUCUCUUUGAAAUGAUAACAAGCAAAUUGGGAGAGACUGCUUUUAUGAAUUUUACAGAAUUUUAUUGCCCUUAUUUAUACAAAACAAAUUGGUAAGAGUUAGUAAUUCGUCUCAUUAGACAUUGGAUGUGAUUGGACUACUUAGUAGUGUCGCCCUUCUUCCUUGUAAAACUUACGUAACGCCAACGUCUUUUUUUAUUAUGUUGUAGGACAUUACAACAUAAUAAAGAAAAUAUUUAUUUGUUUCACCGUGAGACAAAAUUAAGGAAGGAAUUAACCGCCGACCUAAACGAUCAAGUAGUAAAUAAUUGUUUUUCAUGCAUAAAAAUACUUACCUCAUCAUCUUCCCAACUUUUGGAAACCUCAUGUCCACAUACACACAAAUCACUGUUAACCAAAUACCAAAAAUGACCCUAUCCCUAUCUCCCCUUAUUAUGACACUCAUCCAAGCUCCCUCUAUAAAUACAAACCUCCAACAAAACCCCUUUGCAAACCCAUCACAAACCAAAAUCUAAGCUUCCAAAUUACAAAUCACUCCCUAAAAAACCAUGGCUACUCCAUCCAAGUCCUCCAUCUUCCUCCUCUUCGCCAUCUUCGUCGCCGUCUCGUUCUCCAACGUCCAAGUUGGAACCUCAGCUCGCCUCCUCCUCCAGCUACCGAAUAUCCCUGCCGUUGGCGGUGUCCUUCCGAUGCCCCAGCUGCCUCCACUCCCCACCACCGGCGGCAUCAUCCCUACUGUUCCUGGAAUCCCAUCCAUUCCCACUAUUCCAACUAUCCCCGCUGUUCCUGGAAUCCCUGCGGUGCCGAAUGUCCCGGUGCCUCCGGUCACUGGAGCCGUUGCCGGCGUCCCCAUUCCUAACCUCCCGGUGCCUUGAAACUAGGCGGUGGAGAUAUUGUGUAGGCAAAUGAGUUGAUGUGUUGUUAUCUCUGUGUUGUUUUGUACUUUGUACUGCUGUGUCGUGUGUUGUUGUAUCCGACUUCGUUUCUUCCUUGUAUUCCACGUGCGACUUUAUUGUAAUUUUAUAAACCAUGGUUAUUAACUAUUUAUACUCUUUACAUUUCAGUCAUGUCAAGGAAACAUAUUCAUCCUUAUAGGUAGACUUGGAUUUUCGGAUCACUGCAUGAGUAAGUGUUCGCCUCUCAAAUGAAGAUGUGGUCUUUAUUCGUACAAUUGUUAAAUAUUACCGGAGGUGAAGAAUAAAUUUGUUUAGGUAGGGAGAUCAUAUUUUAAGGUCGAUAUAAUUUUAAGGGAGAAAUAUCAUUUAACUGUUAAUGGUGGCGAUCUAUAUAGCAGGAUUAUACUUUUGAACGGGAAAAUACGGGUUGUUGAUACUUUUACUGGAACUAUAUCUCAGUUGGAAUUUGUUCGGGCUAGACUGUCGGAGUCGAUACUUAUUGCUCUGUUCUUUAUCAUUUUCAUGUGCAUUGUCAAUAUGGCAGUUCAAGUCUGUAAGUAAAAAAAAAUCGAUCAGUAAUAAAAUUGACAUCAUCCGGUCAAUAGCUAAUGCCUAAUAUACACACAAAAAAUCCAUAAAACACACACGAAAAAUGACUUUUUGAUUUCAUUUGACUAAAAUUUGAAGGUCUAACAUAGUGGAAUUUGAUUUUCUAAUCAUUUCCAACACUUAUUCCAAAAAUUUAGCUAAUUUAAUUUUUUUUCCAAAUCGCAUAGGCAUGAAUAUACCUUAUUUGUCAAACGUUCAGGGAAGGAUUUUUUGAUGGUGAGCUUGUAUACAGAUGAUUUGAUGUACACCAGCAACAUCACAAACAUGAUCAAUCAGUUUAAAGAAAAUGCGAAAAAAUAAUCAAAAAAUAAAUGUUGUGUUUCUUACUUUAUUUCACUUAAAUUGGAAAGAUUGACAUAAUAGAAUUUGAAUUUUUAAUAAUUAUUAACCUUCAUAUUAAAAAUAAGUCAAUUUUAAAAAAAAUCAUUAAUACACAAAAAAAUAGAAAAAUUGAAUAUUUUCUUUAUCGAUUCAUUAAAAAAAAUCAAUAAGGAAAUGUAGUGGUUUGCUAGACUUGCUCGCGAAAGAAAUCGUACCUCUUGAUUAUAUUAAUAUUGUAAACCAUAUAAAUGACUUGUAAGGUACCGCUGUCGUUGCCCAAAGUGGAUAAAUACUAGCCAAUUUUCUUGUAACAAAACAACCUUAUAUAUCAAGUUAAAUUCACAUACAUAACUCUUAACACUCGGACUAAAUCAGUUCGGUUUAACCAAGUUCUGGGUGGUCAAGCCAAUUUCACCAUUAACGUUCAUGCAUGGAGUUAUAAUUACUUACCUCAUCCUUUCCCCACAUGUUUGAAACCCUAAUGUCCACAUACAUACACAUCAACUGUUAGCCAAUACCCACAACUUACCCUAUCCUUAUCUCCCAUCACCUCUCUCUAUAAAUACAAACCUCCAACCAAAACCCACUUGCAACCCCAUCACAAACCCAAAAAACCAAACCAAAAGUUGCCAAAUUACAAACCACUCCCUAGAAAACCAUGGCUGGUCCUUCAAAGUCCUCCAUCUUCCUCCUCUUUGCCCUCUUCGUUGCCGUCUCGUUUUCCAACGUCCAGGUUGGAACCUCAGCUCGCCUUCUCCUCCAGUUACCAGCCAUCCCUGCUGGAGUCAUCCCGAAUCUUCCAAUGCCCCAGCUGCCUCCACUUCCUACUACCGGCGCCAUUCCGGCCAUCCCAUCUGUUCCUGUUCCUUUCUUGCCCAAGAUUCCGGUCACGGCAGGUGUCGCCGGCGUCCCCAUUCCCAUCCCCGGACAUUAAUUAAAACCAUUUCGUCCCAAUAAUUAUGAUGGUUGGAUGUGGGAGACGUACGAGCUAGUUAAUGUGUUUGGUAUCUUGUACUGUACUUGUACUACUGUGUCGUGUGUUGUUGUAUCCGACGUCGUUUUUUAUUCGCAUGGACCUUAUUGUAAUUGGGUGUUGUUAUUUGCCGUCCGUAUUUUACUUUACACGGUCCAUAUUUAAUAUAAACGGACUAAUAUAUCUCUAAAUAUUCUUCGGAAUAAAAAAUAACUAUAAGUAUUAAAUAGAAAAAGAUAAAAAUCCUAAACAGAUGCAGAAACAAACUCUAAAUUAGAACAAAAAGGAUUAAAAACUUACUAAUAUAUUAGUCUAUUCAAAUAAAAAAAAGGACUGCUUAAAGUAAAUAUGAACUGCAAAUAGCAAUUGUAAUUGUAUGAAUCCACGUUUAUGUAUGACAAAUGAAUCUGUUAUAUUUUUAUGUUAUGGAUAAUAGAUCACCCAUUUUCUUCGAAAUCAUCCUUUUUAAAAUAGAUAAAUAUUUUGCAUGAAUCUACACUAUGAACUAUAAGCGGAUAAUACCAUACUAAUAUUGGGUUUCACAAAAACUUAUAUGGACUGAGAAUUUGAAAUCUCAUUUUUGUGGAUUUUGUGCCUGACAAGCUUGAGCCUUUCUGUAGGCAGAAUGGUGGGCUUAGUCCAACUUUAUUGAUGAAUUGCUUUUAUCAUUUUGACAGGCCCUGUGACCAAUUGAAAAAUCAUUAUGCACAAAUUGUAUUUAUUUGUUCUAGACAUAUAUCUUUGAUGAUUUAGUGAUAUUUUUUAUAUGAAAUUAAAUGUGUUAGAUUAUUAUUCAUCAGCAAGAGAAAAAGGCUGUAGGCCUAUUUUCAGUCCAAUGGUAUGGGAGAGUAGCAUUGAUGAGCAGUAUAACUAAUGCAAGACGAGAAACAAACGAUAAAGAGAUACGAUUAUGCAAAGUGAGUCUUUUUUUCAAGUGAAUUAGCAACAAGCAUAUAUAGCAUUGUCAUAAAAAUGCUUACUUCUAGUGGCAUGCUCUGUGUCAUUCAAGG
rnacentral:lncRNA from 1 species